rnacentral:rRNA from 1 species
CGUAGGUGGCAAGCGUUGUCCGGAUUUACUGGGCGUAAAGAGCGCGCAGGCGGUCGAGUAAGUCGAAUGUGAAACGCCCCCGGCUUAACGUGGGGAGGGUCAUUCGAUACUGUUCGACUUGAAGGCAGGAGAGGGCAGCAGAAUUCCCGGUGUAGUGGUGAAAUGCGUAGAUAUCGGGAGGAAUACCAGUGGCGAAGGCGGCUGCCUGGCCUGUUCUUGACGCUGAGGCGACGAAAGCUGGGGGAGCAAACGGGAUUAGAUACCCCGGUAGUCCCAGCCGUAAACGAUGGACACUAGGUGUUGGUGGUAUCAACCCCGCCAGUGCCGUAGCUAACGCAUUAAGUGUCCCGCCUGGGGAGUACGGCCGCAAGGCUA